UCCUCGUUUAAGCGAGGCAGUCUGUCCAGAGUGCUCCAAACUCUCGUUUGGGUGGCAACAGGACACAAGGGUUGCGCUCGUUGCGGGACUUAACCCAACAUCUCACGACACGAGCUGACGACAGCCAUGCAGCACCUGUGCACGCUCCCCUUGCGGGGUCGUUACCCUUUCAGGCUUCUACUACGUGCAUGUCAAGGCCAGGUAAGGUUCUUCGCGUUGCAUCGAAUUAAGCCACAUACUCCACCGCUUGUGCAGGCCCCCGUCAAUUUCUUUGAGUUUUAAUCUUGCGACCGUACUCCCCAGGCGGCACGUUUAUCGCGUUAGCUUCGCCACAAAAGGGGUCGAUUCCUUUUACAGCAAACGUGCACCGUUUACAGCCAGGACUAC
rnacentral:misc_RNA from 1 species